CAACAACCAGGUGUGGAGCAGCCAUGCAAUGGUGAGAGAAACUUAUCAGGGCAUGUAUUUUGGAAAUGUGGUUAGGUACUACAUCUGCAAAGAGUAGCCUGGGCAUGAUAUCAUGCUUUGAAACGACAUGGCAAAAGUUUCCACCCCAUCGUUCUCGGAGAAUUGAUCGAUGAAGGGCUUCGUUUCCUAGCAACGGAGAGCCGAAUGUGAUGCAUAGCACCGACGUUAUUGGAGAAGACAUGGACUGCAGAUAACAGAGGAGCCAUAGAGCUGAAAGAGAGGCUGUUGUUCCUCCUAUGGAGUGGCCUGUGAUCACUACUGACUUCACUUUUCCUAUUAACGACGCAAACUGCAUCAGCCAUCAAAUUUUGUUACUUAAAAUAUCUCUCAUGCAAAUUGAAUCCAAUGUGAGAAAAAAAAAAAACAUGUAGGGGUAAUGCAAAGCUUGCUUGUUUCUUCUUAGAAAAGUUGACCCCAACCAACCAACCAACCAGCAAAAGGCUUCCGAAAUGGAAAUGGUCGGAUUAACCAACAAUAAAAGAUUUUGCCGACACCAGUGGAUCAAAGAAAGUGCAAGUAAGUCAGUCAGUCCAGGGUGGUUUUAUUUUUUUAUUGUUAUUAUUUUGAUUUGAAGAAAGGACUGAGGAGGCUUUGUUUGAAGACCACUACCCAACUAAAAUGAAUUGGCUUCUAGAACAUUGAAUGUGAACUCAAUAUUCUAUCAAGUAUCACCAUAAGAUUGACCUGUGAUAAUUGCUACUAAUACUACUAUAUUCAUAAUUGAUAACUUAAUUGCUUUCAUAUUAAGUUCAAGCAAAGUUAUACAUAUGUAGAAUAAAUUUUGGUUGAUUGAAGUUCCUGUUUUUGUCACCAUGUGUCAUCUCUGCUUGGGACCCUACUUCACUCUUUAGAAAAGGAUUUGUGAUAACAAGUAGGGGAGCUCCAAGAGGUAAUUUUCUAACUUCCAUCCUUUAUGCUUCCCUUUUCACACCUACCACCGGGAAUGCUGUCUUUAGUACCAAGAGAUGUGCGGACAUUACUGAUUAAAGUUAUAUCUCAGCCAUCAUUUCAGUUUCCAUUACCUCCAUUUCCGAAAAAAUGCAACAAUUAUUCAUCGUUUGAAGGUUUGAUUGAGUGUUUUAAUGAUGACCCCACAAAAAAUUCUCACUUUUCACCUUUGAUGUUCCUACCAAAAUGCCAGAACCCCAUCAUUUAAACCUAGUCUCUAUCUUUGGGAUGGUGGCAGCAUGGUUUAUGAUAUUUUAGACUUUGUUCCUUACCAAUUGAUUGUGAGGUUGGCAUCCAACGGGUGUAUAUUUUUUGGGAUCCAGAUGUAUCUGAUAUUCAAUGAAAUUUCUGUUUCUAUCAGAAGAAUUGGCUAGUUAAUUACACUAUGGUCUAAGGUCUAAGGGAGGAUCUAGAAGUUUUAACACACAAGCUAACCCCGAGUACAUAGUCUAUGCAUGAGCUUGGCAAUUUCAAUAUAAUUCAAUUACUAAGAAUUACUACUACUUAUAUGGAACGGUUGUUUGUGAAUAUGUAUAUAUACUUAAUUAUAAAUAAAUCUAGACUUGAUUUAAGGUUAAAGUUUAAAAUUCGAAUAAACAAAGAAAACAUGAAAGAGCAAAUGAUGAAUGGAAAAAUUAUAUCUACGACAAGGUAAAAGUCUAAAAGAAAAACCUGACCUGGAUUUGCAAACUUUGAUACAUUGACAGGAAAAGCCUUAACAUUCCACUAUGCACCCUGAUGGGCUUCUCUGCUUCACGAUAAAGGGGAGCGAAAAGGCCACCGUCUUCAGCAUCCAAACGCGCCGGAUUUUCGCGGCUCUGGUCUGACCCAGGAUCCGCUUGUCUGCCAGAAAAAGCAACGUAGGCGACGCUUCCAAUCUGCUGCACCAGGUAAGCCCCUGGAAAGGUUGUGUCUGCGAUGCUGCAUAGCCUCCAUGCCUCUUCCAACAAUGGAGUCGAGGCAAGAAACGUUGCCAGCAUCUCGCUCAUUUCAAAUUAGUUCUCGCUUUUAUCACUAAAUUUCAGAAAGAACAAGUAAAGGUGUAAGAAUAAAGCCAAUUUCAAGGCAAGUUCAAAUUUGGAAAAUUGGAAUGGAAGAAAAAUAGAGCGGCUUUGAGUUACUUACCAAUUACCAUGAAGUUUCGGUUUGCAUGGAAAGUAGUUGCUCUUUCUUUUUUUUAUUUCCAGGAUUAAAAGUUACUUAACAAAUCCCGUGCCCCACUUUCCUGCUCCGCUGAUAUAAUCACGCCAUGUCUUAUCAUGUUUUGUAAUAUUUAAUUGCACUGAACGUGUGAGUGACGGUAUUUGAAGGGAUAAGGCAUUAGCUUUGCUCUUUUCACCGGUCUCCACUUUGCUGCUUGUCUUCUUCUUUUCUUUAAAUACACUGUUUUUUCCUAUCUUUUCCAUGCAGCAAAGAUUAUGCAGGGAUAACAUUAUUUCCGGUCAAACAUGUAAUCCAUACAGUAACGAUUCUGCACGGAAGUCAGUAGCCAACAUCCAAAUAAGGCAGCAAAAAAACCUUAACAUAUUAAAACUAAGUUCUGUUUUUUAGAGUAUUGAAGUGGUAGCUUGUGUUAUAUAAAUAGUGAGAGGAAAAAUAAAAGAGAAGCCUAAAAAAAAGCUACAUUAAACGUCCUUACUUUAUAUUAACCGCGCAGGAAAGUGAGACACCAGAUGGGGUAAGAAAUUUCCAUCUGCGAUUGACAAAAUAAUUUCCACUCCAUUUCCUGUCCAGCUCUUUCAAAAUGUCAUGGGUCUAUUUUCAAUUACUAAUUAAUACCUAUUUAUUUUUUUUCUCUCAUAAUCUGAUUUUAAUUUUUUUUCUCGUAUCUUUUCCCGCUUUCUCUAUUAUCAGAUGAUUAGUAAUCUUCUUUCUUCUUAUGCUUGUGGUCGUUCUAGCAAGAAAAGCAAAUGAAUCAUGGCCUUGGGUUGGUAGUUGUCCGAUCGGGUGAUUAGCACAACCCGACGACAGGUGAGGAUCAAAGCAAGGAGUGGGUAGAGGAGACUGCUGCUGCUGCUGUAGCGGGAGUUGCACCACCGGAGACAGAUCAAAGUUCGGAUCUGAUGAAAGAGGUACUGGUGAUGGAACAUGUCUUUUCCCUAUCUUCAUUGAUGUAAGAUUAGAUUUUCUUUUGACUUUCUCUCAGAGAAAAACGGAACAAAGAAAGCCAGACAGUAGCUGAAGAAACCAAGCAAAAAACAAAGAAAAACAAUAAGGAAUUAAGGAAGUGAUCUUCCAGGAAAAAGGAUAAGAUUUUGUUAUAAUUUUAAACGCUCUUGAAAUAUAUAUUUUAUUCAAAAAAAUAUUUUUCACAAUAGAUUAGUCGAUCGUUUUCAUUAAUUUAAAAAUAUGAUAAUAUUAAAAUAAUAUUUUAAUUUUUAUUUAUUUUAAAAAUUAUUAUUAUAUUUUAUUAUUUUUUAUUAAUUUAAAAAAAAUUAAGAAGCACUGAAGGGGGCACCAGAUUUGAUACUUCCUAAGGGAGGAAGACCAGAUCUUGGGGAUCAGUGCUCUCUGAAUUAUUUUUUUAAAAAGAAAUUUAUAUAAUAAUAUUUUUAAAAAUUAAUAAAAAAAAAUUUAAUUUUUUUAUAUUUUUUAUCAAUAUUUAUAUUUUUAAUACAAAAUAUUUAUUUCAAAAUUAAUAAAUUUAUUUAAAAUUUCGAUUAAAAUUUUAAAAAACAAAUUAUUUUGCUCAAAAGUAAAACCCAAAAACUACCCAUAAUUGAUUUAUAAAAGAGAAAGAGAAAAUAUGAGGGAAAAGAAAUGAAAUAAAUAAAAAAUUAAAUAUAUAUUAAAUAAUAAAAAAAUAGACACAGUAAGUGGGGUAUUAUUAUUUCUUUUUCAAUAUUAAAAAAUAAAGAUAGUUUUUCAAUUUGACUGAACAAUUUUGUUGGGUCAGAAUCAAAUUAAUCAUUUAACUCAAGCUUGGGCCAACAGAUUAGAUCCACAAAAAAUUAUGGGUCUAUUUAUAUUGGAGUAUAAUUAAAUCUAUUUACCUAAUUUCGUCCAAAUUGAUCGUUAGUAGUGCUAACAUAACGUUAAUAUGUCAAAUGAUUCCUACGUGGUAUUGACGUGUCAAAAAAAAAAUUUCGAUAAAAAAGUUUUUUGUCACAUCAUAAGAAUUAAAUUAAAAAAAAUAAUAUAAAAAUUAAAUUGAAUAAAAUAUCAUAAUACAUAAAUUAAAUUAAACAAAAUUUUAUCGUAUAGAUACUUCAUAAGUACUUUUACUAUUUUUUGUUUCAAAUUAUAUAUGAGAAUACUAGAGGUCAAAAUACCCCAUAAGUUCCUAUAUUAUAUGUUUUUCGUCAAUUUAAUCUCUCUAUCCCAAAAUUAAUUAAUUUAAUUUUUUAUUUCAAUAUUUUGUGCAACCAAGUCCCUUCGCCUAACACUGUCCAAAUCAACCAUUAACUCCUGAUGUGGUGUAAACAAUGUUGACAUAACAAUGACGUAUCAAACAAAAAAAUAAAAAUUGAUCACAUGAUUUUUCUUUUUCUUUUCUCAUUUGUUUAAGAUUACAUCGUAUUAAGGCUACUAUUAGCACAUUUAGUUUUUUUUUUUAUUUCUUUCCUUCUCUCUCUAGCUCUUUUCCCUCUCUCUCUACCUGCCUUUCUCUCCCCAAAUUCUAGCCCUUUAACCAAGAUUUUGAUCAUCGUUGGUUGUCAGAAAAUUUAAUAAAAAUAUUAAAAAAAUCAUUUUUUACCCUCUUUCUCUUAAUCGGGAUAGUUCAUUCAAAAUCUAUCCCGAUUUUUCUAGAUCUAAAAUUAUAAAUUUAUAAAAAAACUACUAAUUUAUGUGAGAAAAAUGUUAAAAUUAAGAGUGUGGGAGUGAUUUUCCUUUUAUUGCAAGUUGAUUUUCAUUUUUAUUAAAAUUUUCGACCACGAGUGAUCGACGACCAGAGUCUGGGUUUAGGUGCUGGAAUACGGAGAAAGAAGGGCAAGGUAGAUAGAGAAGAGAGCUAGAAGAAAAGAAGGAAAAAUGAAAACAAAAACAAAAACACGAAAGCUGCUUCAAAUAGUAGGCUUAAAACGACGUAGUUCUAGACAAAGGAAAGAAGAAGAAAAAAGCCACUUGACCAAUUUCUUUGUUUUUUUUCAGACACGUCAUCAUUACGUCAGCACCAAAUUUGGACGGUAUUAUGCAAAGGGAUUCAAUUUGCACAAAAUCUUGGAGUAGAGAAACUAAAUUAACAAAUUUUAAAAUAGAGAGACUAUGUCGACAAAAAACCCAUAGCAUACGAACCUAGGGGUGCUUUGACCAAUGUUAGCUCUCCCAAUAAGUUGACAUAGUGUAUGAAAAUCUUGAAACAAUGUAAUUUAAUGCAAUUUUUGCUUAUAAUAUGAAAUAUUAUGUUGAAUGCAAUUUCUGCUUGAGUAUUGAAACCUGCUAUCUUUUGUUUCGUUGGUCUAUUUAUGCAAUCUAAAAAUAUAUAUAUCAUGAAAUGACAUCAUUAUAUUAACUUCACAUUUGUAUUGGGAAUAAAAAAAAUUGUAGCAAUUUAGUUAAAGUUACAAUCAAUUACAAAAAUAUAAACUUUAAUUACAAAAAGAUAACUUCACUUACAAAAAUAUAAACUUUUGUUAAAAAAGAAUUGUGACAUCCAUUUAGUUACAAAAUAACUUAUACAAGUAACAAUCAAAAUAACAAUAGUAACUCAACAACAGUCAAUAUAGAAUAUCAGUCAUAAUAUUAGACUUUUCUUAUGCUUUCUUGAGUUGAAACUGGUGCACCAUUUAGCAUAUCAACAGCUGAUGACUUCGAUUUGCUUUUCUAUUUUUGUUAUGCAGUUUUCCAUGGCAAUAGCAACAAAUUCAAUGUUUUAAUGAUAAAAAUAGAGCAACAGCAUUAUCAUCGUAAUGCAAUUAGCAGAGCUGGCUCUUGGGUGAAGCCACCCAAGCAAGGGCUUUAGGCACUCAAUUUGGAGAGGUCUCAAAUUUAAAAAGUCUUUAUAAUUUUAUAAUAAUAAUAAUAAUAAUAUAAUUAAUUAUAUUAAAAAUAUAUAAAAAUAAAAAAUAUGUAAAAGUAAAAAAUAAUUAAUAAAAUUAUUUGUUUUCUCACUUUUCUAAUUAUGUACUUAAUAAAUAUCAAUUUUCUGUCACUUUCUUAUUUUUAAAAUACUAUUAAUUCUCAACUAUAUUCUCUUAUUUUCAAUCAACUAAUGAUCAUAUGUAUUUAAUCAUCUCCCACAACUAUUUUUUUUCUUACUUAUUUCUUUUAUUUCCAAUUAACUCAUUUCAAUGAUUUUCAACAACUAUUUUUUCCUAUAUAUAAAAUCAAUUAUUUUUUUUGUUUUCUAUGUAGCGCUAAAAAGUUGAAAUCAUUAGAUGAUAAUAGUUUAAAAGAAUAUUGUCUUAAUCUUGAAUAUUCCUUAAAAUAUAAUAACUAUUAUGAUAUUGAUGGUUUACAUUUAUUUUUAGAGUUAAAAAUUUUAAAAGAAAUUAUAUAGUAAGAAAAUAGUCCAAUUGACAUACUUAAUCAUAUAAGAAGACUCUAUUCUUUUCCAAAUGCAUAUAUUGCUUUUAGAAUAAUAUUAACAAUUUUAAUAAGUGUUACUUUAGGGGAAAGAAGUUUUUCAAAACUAAAAUUAAUAAAAUCUUAUUUAAGAUCAACAAUAUUUCAAGAAAAAUUAAAUGGAUUAUCUAUAUUAUCAAUUGAAAAAGAAAUAUUAAAAGAACUUGAUUAUAAAAGUUUAAUUAAAAAUUUUACAUACCAAAAAGUUAAAAGAAUAAAAUUUUAAUAAUUUUUUUAAUUUUAAUAAAAAAAGCUUCAUUUGAAUAUUUGGUUUUAAAUCUUUGAACUUAUUGGCCGCCUCUGGCAAUUAGUGUUCUUCUCACCAAUAAUUUCCUAAUAGAUAAGAAUGAUGUAGAAUUGUAGUUGUCAAUUGCAACUACCUACUGAUUUCUCCUACUAAUGGAAGAAGGGAACUACAAUUGGUUUCAAUUAUGCACCUGUAGCUUUGGGUGUGGUUCUGUCUCUGAUAAUGUCGUGGUGGGUGGUGGAUACAGGGAAAUGGUUGAAGGGACCUGUUAGGAACAUAGAAAUUCAGAAUGGAAAGGUUUAACUUCGAGCACAAGUUCAUAUUUUUACGAAAAUAUCAAAAUGCUUGUUUCUGCCUCACGUAUUUGCCAUGUGCUUUAUAGUUUCAUCCAUCAGAAAUUAGAGUAGUCAUCUUGAUAACCGAAUUUCAGAUUGCAUUGGACUGAAAUGAUUCUUGCAGGUCAAGAAGGUUCUUGUAAAGAAGUGCGUGAAUUCAUGAACCAAAGCUACACGAAACGAUUUUCUACAUAUUUUACAAGCCUACGAAUAGCGUAUCCAUCUGCCAGAAAGCAGACUAAGGAACUACCUCCCCAUCCACAAAACCUGGAAACCUGGGAGGGAAUUGCUGAACCUGUGACUUCAAUUCCUUCCACUCUUCCAUCCACCGACUGAAGCUUGAAUUUUUUGCUAAAACAUCUAUAGAGACCUCUUUAUUCUCAAUCAACUUCCUCGAAUAUUGUUCAAACAAAUCAAUGUUGUGCCACAACAGAUCUCGCUUCUUUACAUCACUCUCACUCCUGACAUUAUCUAGCCACUCCCUGGCUUCUUCUACUUUAGCCCAAAAGCAUGAAUCUUGGGUCGAGCUGGCGAAUUUGCUCCUCUUGUUCUCUUCCUCCGGAACUCUUCUGUCCCUCCACCACUUAUCAAAAAUUUCAUACCUCCUUUCCCUUCCAUGCUUAAUGUAAUGGCCACGUUCGCGGUGCUUCCCUGCUCGGUAGUAGUCGGCGAUGUCCAAUGGCUCCACAAGAAGCUUAUAGAAUUGGGAAGCGUUUACCCACUUUCCCCUUCUGUGAAAAUCCUGAGGCAGCUUGUUGUUUUCCAACAUGUGGAUUACACUAUUCCAGAAACCCGCAAGCUUAUGGCGGUUCAUGUUGACUCUGUACUCUCUUUUUGAGCGCCCCUUAAGCUUGAAGGCAUCAUAGUAACCCAUUUGAUCAUCAGCAUCGUCGCAGCAGGCUUUGUACCACUCAAUUUCAGCUCUGAAAGGUACUAUCUUGGACAAUUUUAUUGCUAGAUUGGCUGCCGUCAGGUUUGGCUUAUUACCAUCUUGCGCCAUUUGUAGACAGUCCUUGGCCAUAAUUACAACUUCUUUCCUCAGGUUUGAGUUUUGUUCAGAAAGGUACAGGUCUUGAACUGGUUCCUGUUAGUUGAUUUCAAUUUGAAACAAAAAUUAUAUAUAUAUGCAAAUUGACUUUGUUAUACAUUUAUAUAUACUAACAAAGGGAACUAAUUAAGUUUUCCCUAGGAGAAAAAAAGAUUACCUUGAUAACUAGUUCUGUGGACUGCAAUGCCAAUGCCACUCCAGCUUCAUAGCUAGAAUCAGGAAGAUCCUCUUCAUGAAAGUUUCUAGCCCUCAAAAAGUGUUUAGAAACUUUCCCAACAUAAUCUCCAUACUUGAGAUGAUCCUCAAUGCUACAACUUGGUGAACCCGUUGCCAGCAUCAGAUACAUCAUCUUAAUGACAGAUGCCACAUUAUCUAGACAAAUGGCACCUUCUUGGCAGCAGAAAACAUAGCUCCCAAAUGGCCAAAACACAUUGUCUGAUGGCUCUUCAGCUUGCGCUAACAGUUCCAAAUCCUUUAAAACACAGUGAAAAAUAUCUUUGACCUCAUCGGCUAGCUGGGAAGAAAGGCUUGUAAGGUGUGGAGCAGCCAUGCAAUGGUGCCAGAAAUUUAUCAGGGUAUGAAUUUUGGAAAUGUUGUUAGGUACUAUGUCAGCAAAGAGUAGCCUGGGCAUGAUAUCAUGCUUUGAAACAACAUGGCAAAAGUUUCCACCCCAUCGUUCGCGGAGAAUUGAUCGAUGAAGGGCUUCGUUUCCUAGCAACGGAGAGCCGAAUGUGAUGCAUAGCACCG
rnacentral:lncRNA from 1 species